rnacentral:rRNA from 1 species
UCCAAUAGCGUAUAUUAAAGUUGUUGCGGUUAAAAAGCUCGUAGUUGGCACUCAGUUCCGGACUGACGGUUCACCGCCCGGUGUUUUUCCGUCACGCUCCGAACAGCAGGGAUGACCCUGCCAGGCCGGCUCGCACGGGGUGCUCUUUACCGAGUGUCCCGCGUGGCUGGCAAGUUUACUUUGAAAAAAUUAGAGUGCUCAAAGCAGGCUACUUGAAUGGCCUGAAUGGUGAUGCAUGGAAUAAUAGAAUAGGACCUCGGUUCUAUUUUAUUGGUUUUCGGAUCCAGAGGUAAUGACGAAUAGAAACAGGCGGGGGCAUUCGUACUGCGACGCUAGAGGUGAAAUUCUUGGACCGUCGCAAGACGAACUAUUGCGAAAGCAUUUGCCAAGGAUGUUUUCAUUAAUCAAGAACGAAAGUUAGAGGUUCGAAGGCGAUCAGAUACCGCCCUAGUUCUAACCAUAAACGAUGCUGACCAGCGAUCCGCCGGCGUUAUUCCCAUGACCCGGCGGGCAGCUUCCGGGAAACCAAAGUCUUUGAGUUCCGGGGGAAGUAUGGUUGCAAAGCUGAAACUUAAAGGAAUUGACGGAAGGGCACCACCAGGAGUGGAGCCUGCGGCUUAAUUUGACUCAACACGGGGAACCUCACCAGGCCCGGACACUGGAAGGAUUGACAGAUUGAGAGCUCUUUCUCGAUUCAGUGGGUGGUGGUGCAUGGCCGUUCUUAGUUGGUGGAGCGAUUUGUCUGGUUAAUUCCGAUAACGAACGAGACUCUGGCCUAUUAACUAGUCGACGGAUCUCCAGCAAUGGUGUCCAGUUCGCAACUUCUUCUUAGAGGGACUAGCGGCAUUCUAGCCGCACGAGAUUGAGCAAUAACAGGUCUGUGAUGCCCUUAGAUGUUCUGGGCCGCACGCGCGCUACACUGAAGGGAUCAACGUGUUGUCCCCCUCCGAGAGGAGCGGGUAACCCGUUCAAACCCCUUCAUGAUAGGGAUUGGGGCUUGCAAUUGUUUCCCAUGAACGAGGAAUUCCCAGUAAGCGCAAGUCAUCAGCUUGCGUUGAUUACGUCCCUGCCCUUUGUACACACCGCCCGUCGCUACUACCGAUUGAAUGAUUUAGUGAGGCCUUCGGACUGGCGCUCUUGGAUGCUGGGCCUCUGCUCUUCGGAGGGGGACCCUCGCCUCGAGCUGACGGAAAGAUGUCCAAACUUGAUCAUUUAGAGGAAGUAAAAGUCGUAACAAGGUUUCCGU